AGAGUUUGAUUAUGGCUCAGGACGAACGCUGGCGGCAUGCCUAACACAUGCAAGUCGAACGGACAUAACCAAGUUAUAGCGAUAUAAUGCGGGGUAUGUUAGUGGCGAACGGGUGAGUAACACGUGAGCAACCUGCCCUGUACAACGGGAUAACAGUUGGAAACGACUGCUAAUACGGUAUAAGACCACACUGCGGCAUCGCAGAGGGGUAAAAGUGAAUUAGCGGUACAGGAUGGGCUCGCGUCCAAUUAGCUAGUUGGUGAGGUAACGGCUCACAAAGGCGACGAUUGGUAGCCGACCUGAGAGGGUGAUCGGCCACACUGGAACUGAGACACGGUCCAGACUCCUACGGGAGGCAGCAGUGGGGAAUAUUGGGCAAUGGAAGGAAACUCUUACCCAGCAAUGCCGCGUGAAGGAAGAAGGUCUUCGGAUUGUAAACUUCUUUUAUUGGGGACGAAUAAAUGACGGUACCCGAUGAAUAAGCCCCGGCUAACUAUGUGCCAGCAGCCGC
rnacentral:rRNA from 1 species